CUCAGGAAAAAAGGCAUCAGACGAAACGGACUCAGACAAAAAGGCAUCAGACGAAACGGACUCAGGAAAAAAGGCAACAGACGAAACGGACUCAGACAAAAAGGCAUCAGACGAAACGGACUCAGACAAAAAAAGGCAUCAGACGAAAACGGACUCAGACAAAAAAAGGCAUCAGACGAAACGGACUCAGACAAAAAAGCAUCAGACGAAACGGACUCAGACAAAAAGGCAUCAGACGAAACGGACUCAGGAAAAAAGGCAUCAGACGAAACGGACUCAGACAAAAAGGCAUCAGACGAAACGGACUCAGACAAAAAGGCAUCAGACGAAACGGACUCAGGAAAAAAGGCAUCAGAAGAAACGGACUCAGACAAAAAGGCAUCAGACAAAACGGACUCUCAGGAAAAAAGGCAUCAGACGAAACGGACUCAGGAAAAAAGGCAUCAGACGAAACGGACUCAGGAAAAAAGGCAUCAAAAGAAACGGACUCAGACAAAAAGGCAUCAGAUGAAACGGACUCAGACAAAAAGGCAUCAGACGAAACGGACUCAGGUGGAGUAUCGCGUUGCCCCGCCCCAGGUGACGUCACACGCACGCGGUUCAGAGGAAGUGGUAUAUAACGGUUGAUUGAUGGCAAAAGGAGUUCAGUUUGCCAGAUUGAAGAGGCCACAAGACUACAGUCAAAAUGCACUGCUUGGGGACAAAUUCGGCAAUCAAGGGUUACUGCGAGCAGGUUCCGGGAGGUUUGUCAUAUGGUUGGGGAUUCAGCUAGUCAGUCGUUGGCCGCAAGAAUCAUUAAGGGCACAAGGCAGACAAGUGCUAUGAAAUGUGGCCUUGAAUUUGAGCCAGAU
ensembl:lncRNA